rnacentral:rRNA from 1 species
CUUAAAGCNGUUCUCAGUUCGGACUGCAGUCUGCAACUCGACUGCACGAAGCUGGAAUCGCUAGUAAUCGCGGAUCAGCACGCCGCGGUGAAUACGUUCCCGGGCCUUGUACACACCGCCCGUCACACCAUGGAAGUCUGCAAUGCCCGAAGCCGGUGGCCUAACCACUUAUGUGGAAGGAGCCGUCUAAGGCAGGGCAGAUGACUGGGGUGAAGUCGUAACAAGGUAUC